UCUUUGAUGUGUGUGUAUGUUUGUGUGUGUGUGUGUGUGUGUGUGUGUGUACACACACACACACACACACACACAUGCACACAGACACAGAGACACAUGUGUGCGCAUGCACACACACGAACAAAA